rnacentral:rRNA from 1 species
UACGUAGGGUGCGAGCGUUGUCCGGAAUUACUGGGCGUAAAGAGCUCGUAGGUGGUUUGUCGCGUUGUUCGUGAAAACUCGGGGCUUAACCCCGAGCCUGCAGUGGAUACGGGCAGACUAGAGGUAGGUAGGGGAGAAUGGAAUUCCCGGUGUAGCGGUGAAAUGCGCAGAUAUCAGGAGGAACACCGGUGGCGAAGGCGGGUCUCUGGGCAGUAACUGACGCUGAGGAGCGAAAGCGUGGGGAGCGAACAGG